rnacentral:ncRNA from 1 species
AUGGGAUUAGCAGAUUGAUAGCUCUUUCUUGAUUAUGAGAUGGUGCAUGGCCGUUCUUAGUUGGUGGAGUGAUUCGUCCGAGUAGUUCCAUUAAUGAACGAGAUCUUAACCUGCUAAAUAGGUCCAAGGUAGGGGUGUUAAAGGCAAUAAUUUGGUCUGUGAUGCCCUUACAU